AAUAAUAUGCCAAAGAAUGUCGUAUGUUCGAUCAUCAGCUUCAUCGUAAACAAAAAAAAAUCCAACCGUUUAGAUUAAUUUUUUGAAUUAUGAAUAAAAAAUUCUCAAAACAUUUCCCUCAAAAACAAAAAUCACUUCUCCCUCACUGUCUUGAAAUCCAUCAUCCUAGCACCAUUUAAAAACUCAUUCAUCAACAACUUAAUCAACAAAUCAAAUGUGUCUUUCAUAAAUAAAAGCCUCAUUUCACAAAAGAAACCCAGACCAUGAAUAGAGAGAAAGUGAGAGCAAGAGAUAGACAAAAAAUUGGAGUGGAUACUAUAGGCAAAAGAAACAUUAGAAGAAUGAAGAAGGAGAGAUAGAGAGAAUAUGUGGCCAUCACCGAUCUGGUGCAACAACUCAUAAAAAUAAAAUUGAAGGGGAAAACAAAAAAAAGAGAUAGGGAAAUGGAGAUAAAUUAUAUAUGUACCCAAAAAGUCAGAUAACUAUACCAACAGAGAUAAAAACAUGGAAGAAAAAAAUUGAAAUCACAGAGAUUUGUAUGGGCCGUGAAUUGCUUGAAACCCAUAAAUCAUUUGAAUUUUGAGGGAGAUGGGUGGAGGGGAGAUGUUUUGGGAUUUUUUUUCAUGAUUUUAAAAAGUUAAUCUGGGCCGUUGGAUUAUUUUUAAUCACCACUUUGUUGUGUUCAUAGGAAGAAUUAUUUUGUAUUUUUGUUUGCAUUAGAAACUAAUUAUUUUGUAUUUAUGUGGCAACAUUUAACAUUUACAAAUUAUAAUCACUCCCUCCCUCCCAUGUAUGAUUAGCCAAUUUUUGAUAGGUCAA
rnacentral:lncRNA from 1 species